rnacentral:rRNA from 1 species
UACAGAGGGUGCGAGCGUUGUUCGGAAUUACUGGGCGUAAAGCGCGCGCAGGCGGCCCUUUAAGUCUACCCGGGAAAUGCCGGAGCUCAACUCCGUGCACGCCGGGGGAUACUGGGGGGCUGGAGACAUGUAGAGGCAAGCGGAAUUCCGGGUGUAGCGGUGGAAUGCGUAGAUAUCCGGAAGAACACCUGAGGCGAAGGCGGCUUGCUGGGCAUGAUCUGACGCUGAGGCGCGAAAGCGUGGGGAGCAAACAGG